AACUCAGGACCUUGUGCUUGCAAGGUUCUACAAAUUGCUUUUGCAAUGAAUAUUCAGACGUGUUUAACUGUCUCAUUUAAGGAUGGACUUUCAUAUUAGAUAGACUCAUUUCACAUGCUGACUCCACCACAUUCUGUCUGUGUGACUUUGAGCAGUUUCCUCACUUGGAUUCCCCAGGCAAAGAUACAGAGUCUCUCCCCAGCCG